rnacentral:rRNA from 1 species
CCUACGGGGUGCAGCAGUGGGGAAUAUUGGACAAUGGACGAAAGCCUGAUCCAGCCAUGCCGCGUGUGUGAAGAAGGCCUUCGGGUUGUAAAGCACUUUCAGUGGGGAAGAAAGCCUUGGGGCUAAUACCCUCGAGGAAGGACAUCACCCACAGAAGAAGCACCGGCUAACUCCGUGCCAGCAGCCGCGGUAAUACGGAGGGUUCGAGCGUUAAUCGGAAUUACUUGGCGUAAAGCGCGCGUAGGCGGUCUGAUAAGCCGGUUGUGAAAGCCCCGGGCUCAACCUGGGAACGGCAUCCGGAACUGUCAGGCUAGAGUGCAGGAGAGGAAGGUAGAAUUCCCGGUGUAGCGGUGAAAUGCGUAGAGAUCGGGAGGAAUACCAGUGGCGAAGGCGGCCUUCUGGACUGACACUGACGCUGAGGUGCGAAAGCGUGGGUAGCAAACAGGAUUAGAUACCCUGGUAGUC